GCCCUCGCUCCGGCAGCACAUAGACUACAAUUGGAACAAUACAGAGAAGAUUAGCAUGGCCCCUGUGCAAGAUUGACAUGCAAAUUCGAAAAGCGUUCUUUAACAAA
ensembl:snRNA U6 U6 spliceosomal RNA